AGGACGACGCUGGCGGCGUGCCUAAUACAGUGCAAGUCGAACGGUCUUUUCUAUGGAAGCUUGCUUCCACUGAGAAGAUAGUGGCGAACGGGUGAGUAACACGUGGGUAACCUGCCCAUAAGAGGGGGAUAACAUCCGGAAACGGGUGCUAAUACCGCAUAGUUUUCUUGAUCGCAUGAUCGGGAAAGGAAAGACGGCCUUUGUGCUGUCGCUUGUGGAUGGACCCGCGGCGUAUUAGUUAGUUGGUGAGGUAACGGCUCACCAAGACGAUGAUACGUAGCCGACCUGAGAGGGUGAUCGGCCACAUUGGGACUGAGACACGGCCCAAACUCCUACGGGAGGCAGCAGUAGGGAAUCUUCCGCAAUGGACGAAAGUCUGACGGAGCAACGCCGCGUGAGUGAAGAAAGGUUUUCGGAUCGUAAAACUCUGUUGUCAGAGAAGAACAAGUUGGAGAGUAACUGCUCCAGCCUUGACGGUAUCUGACCAGAAAGCCACGGCUAACUACGUGCCAGCAGCCGC
rnacentral:rRNA from 1 species